rnacentral:rRNA from 1 species
CCCUUAGAUGGUCUUGGCUGCGCGCGCGCUACGCUGAUGCGUUCAACGAGUUUAUGACCUUGCCCGAUAGGGUUCGGUAAUCCUUUAAAACCGCAUCGUGAUGGGGAUAGAUUAUUGCAGUUAUUCAUCUUCAAAAAGGCAUUCCUAGUAAGCGCGAGUCAUCAGCUCGUGCUGAUCACGCCCCUGCCCUUUGUACACACCGACCGCCGCUCGUACCGAGUGAGUGAUCCGGUGAAUAAUUCGGAAUGCAGCAGUUUUCAUUUCCUGAACGUUGCAGUGGAAAGUUUAGUGAACUUGGUUUCUGAGAGGAGGGAGAAGUCGUAACA